rnacentral:rRNA from 1 species
GAUGAACGCUGGCGGCGUGCUUAACACAUGCAAGUCGAACGGCAAGGCUCCUGCCUGCUGGGCUACCCGAGGGGGGAACGGGUGCGUAACACGUGGACGUUCUGCCCUGCAUUUUGGUAUAGGCUAGCGUAACUGGGUCUACUACAGGAUAUGACACUCCCUUCGAUUGGGUUCUGGAAAGCUUUUGCGGUAUGGGAUGAGCUCGCGGCCUAUCAGCUUGUUGGUGGGGUAGUGGCCUACGACGGCCUCGACGGAUAGCCGGCCUGGGAGGGUGUACGGGCACAUUAGGACUGAGAUACGGCCCAGACUGGAACGGGAGACAGCAGUGGCGAGUAUGGCACAAUGAGAGCAAGCCGGAGGCGGCGGCGCUGCGUGGGGAAUGACGGCCUUCGGGUAGUAAACACCUGUCGCAACAGACGAAGCUUUUGUGACGGUAGGUAGAGAAGAAGCACCGGCUAACUACGUG